GAGCCGAAACACACACACACACACACACACACGAGAAGGACAGGACAGGACAGGCGAAGAGUGGCGGAGCCGCGGGGCAGUUGGAGUACAGGCAAGCAAAGCAGCUGGCUCAUGGUCACACAGUGUUCAUAGUGGGAUAUGAAAAAAACACCUGAGGGUUUGAGGUUCUGAGCCUUAACGUCUACACUAAUCUUUCUCUCUUCCCCUGUACCUCCAUUCCCAUCACUGUUUUUUUUUUUUUUCCAGAUAUCAUUGUCUCUUCACAUCACAAGUCUAUAUCACUUCAAUCUACUGUACUUUCCUGGACUUGCUUAGGGAUCUCUCCUACUUUUAUUGUACAUUUGAUUGUCACAUGUCUUAUUUGUAACUCCACACAUCCAUUUCAACAUUCUUAUUUCUGCCAUCUCCACCUUCUUCUGUGGCACGUCCUUUACAGUCCAUAUCUCAGCUCCAUCCCUCAUUCCUGGUCAUACCCUGGUCUUAAAAACCUAACCUUUAUCCUUCGUCUUAAUUCUAUGAUCACACAAUGCUCAUGAUACUUUCAUCUAAUUGCUCCAUCCAAACUGCACACUGUGGGUUAUCUCUGCUUCUAAUUCUCCAUCUUGGGCUACCAUUGAUCCUAGAUAUUUAAACAUACCCAGUUUUUUAACAGCACCCUCUGCAGGCUAACAACUGAAUCCUAACCAUCAUUAAACCUCAUAGGUCUUCCUAUAUACUGUAUCUCCAAUUCUCUGCGUUCCAAAGCCCUUCUCCAUUUCCUCCUUUCCGGUGCUACACAACACAGUGUCAUCAGCACAAAGCCUGCACCAAGGGAUUGAUCUUUGAUCCCACGGAUCAGCACAUCCUUAACCAGAUCGUUGAGCACUGUUUUUGUUUAUCUGUGGAUGCCGCCAUCUUGUGGGUUCAUUGUCAGCAGUUUCUAUGGCGUUGCUAUUUGAGGAGGACCAGAGGUGCACCAUGCAGGACGUGACCAUUCUGACAGGAAAAAGGUCAGCAUCAUGCACUUUCUGCUUAUUUCAGAUUGUGGAUACAAAACAAACAUUAAUCUGUUCUCUUUGUUGUUUAGUAAGUCCAGUUGAGAACUCUUUGCUCGGCCAUUUUAACAACAAAUUUAGGCAGUUCAUAAUUUUGGUAUCACAACAAUAAACUAUGGCCCAUUAUUUCGGCAGUGUUUUCACGUCUAGUCCAUUAUUCCUCAAAUCGUCACGUGUCACCCUUUGGCAGAGUAAAAGGAAGCACAAGACUCACGGUCAAGAAAGAAAAGGAAGGUCGUAUCCCAACGAUCAAAAAGAUUCCCUAACAAGUCUUUAAUUUUUAGAAAGAAAGAUCGAUCGAUCAAAAGAUAGCGUAGUUGGCAGGAUUAGAUAGAUAGCGUAGUUGGCAGGAUUAGAUAGAUAGAUAGAUAGCGUA